rnacentral:lncRNA from 1 species
CAUGGCGGCGUGGUUUGAAAAAUAUUGGGGGGAAAAUUUUAAUAUCGUGAAUGGCCUCUAGCUUUUCUUGACUUCGAACGUAAGUGUUUCUUCGCUUCGGAUAUAUUUUCUGGGAAGGAGAAAUUAUGGUAGCUGGGAUGCAACAAUGACGAAUGUGCACGUGAACUCAUUUCUUGUUGGGAAGCUUUCGUGUAAACAGCUUGUUUGAGAAACUAAGCAAGAGUGUGAAUAUUGUUUGGAUUCAAACUUCUUGGAGCUCAAGGGAUCAGUGGAACCUGAUGGACUUCAUAUGGUGCAAGUGGUAUUUUGUUGUUGUCAGAGUGCUUCAUAGUAAUAAUACUUUAUUCAAUCAAAUCACAAAAAAUAAAUAAUUUGAAAGAAAGGGAGACACCAGAGGUUAGCCCUAUCGAGGCUAUCCUAUUUGAAGGGGAACUGAGGUCUAAAAUUGAAUCAUUUUUAGCUCAAAUAUCAAUGUUUGGAUGUUUUUUCCAGCCUUUGGGUCCAACUUUACCCAGAAAAAAAAGUUCAAUGUUGUAUUUUGAUCUCAUAGUAUGGCAGCUUAGAAAAGCGACAUCAGCAGUUAUUUUAAUUCAUUAUUAUGUCACUGGUGGGUAAGAAAGAUAAUAAUCCUGUACUCUUCCUUCAGAACUUCAGUAUGGUUAUGGAGUGAUUGAAGUUGCGUGGCUUGUAAUGGGAAUCAAAUUUGAAAAUGAAAUAUGAUAUGAGGCCUCCUCAAGUUAGUCCCACACCACUGACAUCAUAUUCAACCACUGCUAAUUGUUUUUGAGCCUACAGUCUUACAGCUGCAAGAGCAGGAAAGAGGCAAAUUCAAACUGAAGUUUCUCAUAAAAAACAAGAAGCAAAUGAAAUUAACCACCCAAACUUUAUCUUACCCCACUAAAACUCACUAGAAAUGAAUGCAAAAAAUACCAAUUAUAGGCUUCAGUUCCCCUUGACUCUAGAUCGAAUGGUCUGGGUUCGAGCCCUGGCUAGGGACAAUGUGUUGUGUUCUUGGGCAAGACACUUUACUCUCACGGUGCCUCUCUACCCAGGAGUAUAUAUUACAUAUAGGUGAACAUAUUCAUCAACUUUUUUUGUGCAGCCGUACCUCUGAACUCUUGAGACUCAACUCUUGACCAGCUCAUUCACAUAGGAGUCAGUUUCACUAACAAAAUCUCUUCCUUAGUCUUAAUCUGUGAUGCAAAGACUUUCUUUCUUUCAAUCUUUACACAGGAGCUAAGAAAGUGUGUGAAUAUCUUUGUAUUUAAACUUCUGGAAUCUCAGUGGAUCAUUGGACCCUAAUCGACUUCUUGUGGUGCCAGUGGUAAAAUCUAGUACUCAGUCUGAGAGCUGUUCAGGAAGGAUGCUAGUGCCGACUUGCAAGUUACUGUGACGUUUUCUUUCAAUAUCCGAAACAAAUUCGAAUUUUCCUUUUUCAGGUACUUUGAAGAUUACAAGUUUUUGCAGGAAUGUUAUGGGAGACGAGUGGUUUUAUGAAGAAUUACUCCAUCAAGGAAGAAAAAAUUUCUUCCUUGGAAAGAACGAUAAUCAUGGUCAAUGUAGACAGUUAAGUAAGUAUUUACAAAAGUUGUCUACCUUACGGUAACAACACUUGUUAAUACGCAUGUGUGUCAAGACAGACAUUGAUAUACGUGAUACACAUGUGUUUGAAAUGAUUGUCACUACCACACGGUUAACAACUUUUAUAAAUACUUAAAAAUUGUAUUUAGAGGGUGGGUGCGGUGGGCGAUGGUGGACGGGUAACAAAUUUUAAUAUUCUACCAGUACAAACUUAUUAGUUACCAUAACAUUAAAUCUAACGGAUUAAAUUGACAACUCCUUCUUUUCUGAACUUCCUGGCUGGAAACUAACAUCUAUGUUCCUUGGUGCAAAACUAUCUUGAAGUUCUCGAUACUGAAAGUAAAAGAAAAAGAAAAAGAUUUUCAGAAGGUUACUUUUAACAUGAUCCAACAAACUACAUGCAGGAAAAGUAAAACUUAAAGUAAAGGGAUUUUGAUUCACCGUUUGAUAAAAUUAGAGCUACUUUUUGUAAACUAGGUGGUCAAUCAGAAGGCAAUAAAUGUUCAGUUCUCCUUGAA